AUUGAACGCUGGCGGCACGCUUAACACAUGCAAGUCGAGCGGUAACAGUAUCUGUAGCAAUACAGAUAGCUGACGAGCGGCGGACGGGUGCGUAAAGCAUAGGAACCUGCCCUUGAGAGGGGGAUAACCUGGGGAAACUCGGGCUAAUACCGCAUGAACUCGAGAGAGCAAACCCCGCACUUGUGCGGGGGCUUGAGGAGGGGCUUAUGUCCGAUUAGCUAGUUGGUGGGGUAAAGGCCUACCAAGGCGAUGAUCGGUAGCUGGUCUGAGAGGACGGCCAGCCACACUGGGACUGAGACACGGCCCAGACUCCUACGGGAGGCAGCAGUGGGGAAUCUUGGACAAUGGGGGCAACCCUGAUCCAGCGAUGCCGCGUGGGUGAAGAAGGCCUUCGGGUUGUAAAGCCCUUUAGGUUGGGACGAAGGUGUUUGGCUGAAUAAGUCAGAUGCUUGACGGUACCGACAGAAUAAGCACCGGCUAACUCUGUGCCAGCAGCCGCCGCAGUAA
rnacentral:rRNA from 1 species